GCUAGCGUUGCUCGGAAUCACUGGGCGUAAAGCGCACGUAGGCGGACUCUUAAGUCAGGGGUGAAAUCCUGGAGCUCAACUCCAGAACUGCCUUUGAUACUGAGAGCCUUGAGUUCGGGAGAGGUGAGUGGAACUGCGAGUGUAGAGGUGAAAUUCGUAGAUAUUCGCAAGAACACCAGUGGCGAAGGCGGCUCACUGGCCCGAUACUGACGCUGAGGUGCGAAAGCGUGGGGAGCAAACAGG
rnacentral:rRNA from 1 species